UACGGGGGGGGCAAGCGUUGUUCGGAAUUACUGGGCGUAAAGGGCGCGUAGGCGGCCUACUAAGUCGGACGUGAAAUCCCUCGGCUCAACCGAGGAACUGCGUCCGAUACUGGUGGGCUUGAAUCCGGGAGAGGGAUGUGGAAUUCCAGGUGUAGCGGUGAAAUGCGUAGAUAUCAGGAGGAACACCGGUGGCGAAGGCGGGACUCUGGGCCGAUACUGACGCUGGAGGAAGCGAAAGCGUGGGGAGCGAACAGG
rnacentral:rRNA from 1 species